GUUCCUCUCUGUUUUUUCAAGAUUCAAAAAUCAAGAAAAGGCAGAAGCUCCUCCGGCUAGUUUCUGCUGGUUCCGGCUGCCAGCUUCAACAGUCCUCGGGGUAUCAGCGUCUCAUGGAGGCAUACAUUUAGGACACCCAACACGCUCGCAGAUCUUAUGGCAAAUGACGGAGCCGACCUCACAAACUAUCUUGGACUACCUCUAAGCUAGCUGAUGAGCCUUUCUAUCAUUUUUGUUCACUACUCACAUACAUGUUGUAAAUAGGGUGUUAUAUAAUCCCUUGCGGAGCCAACUCAUUGUUGUUACAGUAUUGGACUCUUUUUUGGCUUUUUUGUAAAGGAUUACCUUAACCGUUAGGGUUCUAGUAGAUCCCAAUAUUUGUAAGGGACGCUAGACCCAACACCUGUGUUUGCUUCUUUUUUUAUUCAAUGACAGUCAAUUUUCUGAAAAAAAAAGAAAAAUUAAUGUGGUUUGUCUCUACAUUUUGCAAUCUACUGAAAUACAAUGUUAUGAAAUUGAAUAUAAUUGGAAUUGUAGACAAGGAAAAUUGUCUA